AGGACCCACAUGUUCAAGGUGACUGACUUCAUGACUAGCAUUAAGGAAGUAUCAUGUGUUGGGAAACUGUUUCUGCCUUGAUGGUUUUAUACACAUAAGAGAUGAAAAAUGAGGCACAUGCUUAGAUGUAUUGGGAAUCAGAUGGGACUGUGGCAUUGUCACAAUG